UGUAAUUUUUCAGGUGUGAAUUAUGAACAUGUGUAGGCGCCAAAGGUUCGAUUGGUAUGUUGCAACAUAAGCUGAAAAAAUCUGUGUUGUCAGUCAUCCGUAUUGUAAGCAAGGAUCAUGUAUUUUUAGGUUUUUUCACAACUCAUUUGUCAGGUAUGCAAAUUAUUGUAUCAUCUGAUAUAAUAGAUAUUAAGAUAAAGCAAGUGUGUGAUAAAGCAAGAUUUUAACCAAUAAUGAAUAUUUAAAUAAAAUAGCAGUUUUACUGCUAUUUUAUUUAAGUUUAAUUUUACAUUGCAAAAUUAUUAUCAAGACAUCAGGAAUGUUUCCACGAUGCAUUGCAAUUUGCCCCAAACUACUCACAAAGAUACAGGAAGCCAGAGUAUAUCCUCGCAAACUGAAGUUUUGUGCAUUGAGUUUUAAAAUGUCUCAAUUAUGUCAUUAUAUUGCAUCGUCAAUGAUAACGUUGAAAUUUUCUUUUAUAUACGGACUUUGUCGGACAGUCUUUGUGUCGAAACGCUAACAAAAUAAUGACGUCAGAUGAUGCAGUGCGUAACAGGUAUUCCGUUUAACUCAGCUGAGAUACCGUUAGGUCAAAAGGUGGCACAGUUGCGUGAAGCGUGAUUGAAAUAGGAUAAGACGUUCAAUCUGCGAAGAUUUAUUUUUAAAGCUACGUGAUUUCAUACAAAAACUAUUUUUAAAGGACUUAUACAACAACGACGUUGAUCAAAUAUUUCAUGAAAUUGAAGAAUUUAUAAGAUAUUUUCUAUGAAGUUUAAGAAAAGAAAGACGUUUCAAUGUAAGAAGAACAGUUUUAUCAUAUUAUUCAAAGAGCUAACACAUCAAUGUACACAAUUUCUGUUUCAAAUUGAUAUUGAUCUUAAUAUAA